UGGGGGAGUAUUGCACAAUGGGGGGGAACCCGUGAUGCAGCGACGCCGCGUGGGUGAAGGAGCGUUUCGGCGCGUAAAGCCCUAUCGGCAGGGAAGAAGGAGGACGGUACCUGACUAAGAAGCCCCGGCUAACUACGUGCC
rnacentral:rRNA from 1 species